GAUGGUUGGGGUGGUGAGGGAGAGUGAGGGUGAGUGUGGCCGUGCAAGCAGGCAGUGACGUGGUGAGGCUGGCCAUGAACGGUGUAGCGGCGGUGGGGUGCGUGGUCGCUACCUUCUCCUCUCCUGCUCCUCCUCCUCCCAGUUGCCCCCUCAGCCCAUCGUGCCUCCGCCUCUCUUCCACCCGACACUUUUUGAGUCAACAGUGACCAGCACCCCUCCCCGGCCACGCGCACGCCGCCUCUGCUGCAGCUGAUAACCUGUAGUGCACCCGUCAUCUCACGCCCGGACGCUCCCCACACACCCCGAAAGCCUCCGGCGGGGCGGCCAAACAUCCUGGUUCGCGUGGGUGUGCCGUUCUGCUUUCAAGGCGACUUUUCCAAUACUUCGUACGAGACACUGUGAACGCUAUCUUGUGUGUCGCUCAGUAAUGUGUUGGUCAGUGCAGGGGUCUUAGUCAUGACCCAUGAGAGUCACUGGUAGCAUGGCUGUGUGAUAAGGUCUCGUGAGGAAGAGUUGCAGAGGCGGCAAGGGAGAGAAGGCGCAUCAGACACGGGACACUCCCCGACGCGAUCACCACAACGCCUACAGAAGUGAUCGACGACUGAUGAAAUAAUCCAUAAUGAUGGUCGCGGGAGGCCGGCGCGACCUGGGUGGCAUUCGGGAAGGACAGGCGUGCCCUGGGCAGUUCAGGUCUGGUCGUGCGCCUCAUCGACCCCUCUGAAGAACUUUUCGCAAGAGUCACCCCGGCCCACGUCAUGUCCCAGUCUAAGGCGGUGUAGCCAGGAUGCAGCUGCAAUGGACGUGUGCCAGUUUUCUGCCGCUGCUGUUGUUGCUGCUAAUGUUACUGCUGCAGGUGGCAAGUGUGGGGUGCAGCACGUCCUCCACCAGCUUACUGCGGUGGGAGCGGUCCCCUGCCUAUAACUCCGGCUUCUACGCCCCCAGCCGCCCCUCCAAGACCCGUCGCUACAGUCGCCGGGACCGCCGGAGACGGCCAGACUCGUGCCGCAGUGGGCGUCACAGAUGUCACCGCCACGCCGUGUGUCGUAGCUUCCACCGUCACCACCGCUGCGUGUGUCGGGAUGGCUGGCAAGGCAAUGGUCGCAGCUGUAGAGAUCUAGACGAGUGUCAGGUGCACAACGGUGGGUGUGUGCACGUGUGCACCAACACCCCUGGAAACUACACCUGUUCUUGUUAUCCGGGCUUCCUGCCGGAUGUGCACGACCCGCACAACUGUCAGGACGUGGACGAGUGUACCCUCCACAACGGCGGGUGUCAGCAUUCCUGUAGCAACACCCUCGGCUCCUUCGCCUGCUCCUGUCCCGACGGCCUCACACUGGCUUCCGACGGCCGCACCUGUUCUGUGGCCACUCCGUCAUGUACCUCACUGUCCUGUGAGCACCACUGCCUGCCCGAGCCUGGCGGGGCGCCCUCCUGUGGUUGUCGGGAAGGUUACGUCCUUGUGCGCGGCAAGUUUUGCAAGCCAACCUGCUCCGUGGGUAACGGAGGCUGCCAGCACCAUUGCCAUGAAAGCAUCUCUGGCUCCAAUUGCACUUGUCACGCCCAAUACCUGCUAGCUGCCGACGGCCAAUCCUGCACACCCUCGUGCGCCAUCAAGAACGGAGGAUGUGACCGCCGCUGCCACAACACAGCCACGGGGGUGCGGUGCUCCUGUCCGCGAGGUUUCCAGCUGCACCACGACCACCGUACCUGUCUGGACGUGGACGAGUGUGCUGAGGAUAGUGGGGGUUGCCAACAUCACUGCGUCAACAACUGGGGAAGCUUCGAGUGUUUAUGUCCAGAAGGCCACAAGCUGCUUCCUGACGAGCGCACCUGUGUGGACGUGGAUGAGUGCGCAGUCAAAGGCACCUGCGAACACCUGUGCACCAACACCCAAGGCUCCUACACCUGUUCCUGUAGGGAGGGAUUCCAACUCUUCGCAGGAGCACAUUGUGGAGACAUCAAUGAGUGCAGUAUUAACAACGGUGGAUGCAGUCACCAAUGUGUCAACACGAGGGGCUCCCACCGCUGCGAGUGUCGGGAGGGCUAUAGGCUGCACCCUAAUGGGAAGGACUGCCUCAGCAACGACCAGUGCACGCCUCUCAGGAGUCCCGCCAAGGCUGAGGUGUCAUGCUACCACCUGGAGGAAUUCGGACACAAGGGAUGGUGCACGGUCAAAUGUCGCCGCGGGGCCGCCUUCAUCUCUGGUAACAGCGAUACAAACAAUGAUAAUGACUACCACAUGAUGACCUGCGGCCCUGACACUGCUUUCACAUGGCGCACUGAGGCUAACAGUACCUACUUCGCUUGCUCCGAAGGACAAGCGGAGACCGGCUUCAAGCGAACAGUGAGGCUGCUGGUGGCGGCGCGAUACUCCAAACGUGUUUCACUAGAUCACCUUCUGGAGGAAAUGACUCGGAUCCUUGCAGGAUGGAUGAAGCCCUGUGGUCACAAGUGCAGGCUGAGAGUCACUUCAGGGAAGGUCACUAAGUCCAAGAAACUGAGGAAGCGCCAUAAGGUGACUCGAGACCAGCAUCUGGUGCGCAUCAAGUUCGAGGUUCUGGCCUUCCCGCCAGGUGGCGGCCUCCAGUGCGGGCGGGGUUGUGAGCGUCAGGCAGCAGAACAAUUGCUGACGAAGAUCUUGAAGCCUCUCAGAAGGAACAUCGCCCAAAAUCGCCAGCUGUCCAGCUCAUCCUCAGGCCGGCUCCAGUACCGUCUGCUGCCGGCUACCUACCAGGUCGGGAAGCGACUCAAGACCGCGUGUCCCGAUGGCUUUGUCUCUGUGGCUGGCAAGUGUGCUCGGGUUCCCAGCAUGACCUACGUACUGACCAGUGUUUGGCAUGUCCCGCCGGCACCUAUCAACCAGACGAGGGUGCUACGCAGUGCCUCGCCUGUCCCGCCCAACCCACCACUACGCGCUCCAUGCAACGGACAGGAGCCAGGAACCUCUCCGAAUGUGCAGACGCUUGCCCAGCCGGGUGGUGGAGCGCUGAUGGCUACAGCCCUUGUCAGCAGUGUGCGGCGGGCACCUAUCAGGCGGAGAAGGGGCGUGUCCAGUGUUCCACGUGCCCCAGCGGCCACGACUCCCAGCCAGGCGCCACCUCGCUUGAGCAAUGUCUGGCAGACACUGAGAAGUGCGAGCUGGGAUACUUCUGGAACGUGAGCCGCGGGUCAUGUGAGAAGUGUCCAGCAGGCUACUACCAGAACACCACCGGGGCCGCCUCCUGCUUGCGGUGUCCCGCCUCCUCCACCACUGACCAUCCCGGAGCCACCUCUAUCCACCAAUGCAAAAGACACAAAUGCGGCGGUCAUGUGGGGCCGCUAUCUGGAGUGUUCGAGACGCCCAACUACCCCGGCCACUAUCCAGACGGCGUCCGCUGCACGUGGGUGGUACGGCCGAAGAGGGGGCGUCGAGUGUUGGUGGUAGUGCCCAG
rnacentral:misc_RNA from 1 species